rnacentral:rRNA from 1 species
GAUGAACGCUGGCGGCGUGCCUAAUACAUGCAAGUCGAGCGAACGGACGAGAAGCUUGCUUCUCUGAUGUUAGCGGCGGACGGGUGAGUAACACGUGGAUAACCUACCUAUAAGACUGGGAUAACUUCGGGAAACCGGAGCUAAUACCGGAUGAUAUUUUGAACCGCAUGGUUCAAAAGUGAAAGACGGUCUUGCUGUCACUUAUAGAUGGAUCCGCGCUGCAUUAGCUAGUUGGUAAGGUAACGGCUUACCAAGGCAACGAUGCAUAGCCGACCUGAGAGGGUGAUCGGCCACACUGGAACUGAGACACGGUCCAGACUCCUACGGGAGGCAGCAGUAGGGAAUCUUCCGCAAUGGGCGAAAGCCUGACGGAGCAACGCCGCGUGAGUGAUGAAGGUCUUCGGAUCGUAAAACUCUGUUAUAAGGGAAGAACAUAUGUGUAAGUAACUGUGCACAUCUUGACGGUACCUAAUCAGAAAGCCACGGCUAACUACGUG